rnacentral:rRNA from 1 species
CCCGCACAAGCAGCGGAGCGUGUGGUUAAUUCGAUGUUACACGAAGAACCUUACCUGGGUUUGACAUGCUAGUGGUAAUGAAGCGAAAGCUAAGUGACCCGCAAGGGAGCUAGCACAGGUGCUGCAUGGCUGUCGUCAGCUCGUGUCGUGAGAUGUUCGGUUAAGUCCGCUAACGAGCGCAACCCUCGCUGUGUGUUACAAGUGUCACACAGGACCGCCGGUCUUAAGCCGGAGGAAGGUGGGAUGACGUCAAGUCAGCAUGGCCUUUAUGUCCAGGGCUACACACACGCUACAAUGGUCAGCACAAUAGGUAGCCAAGCCGCGAGGUGGAGCCAAUCCCAUAAAACCAUUCGUAGUCCGGAUCGCAGUCUGCAACUCGACUGCGUGAAGUCGGAAUCGCUAGUAAUCGUGGAUCAGAAUGUCACGGUGAAUACGUUCCCGGGUCUU